rnacentral:rRNA from 1 species
AGAGUUUGAUCCUGGCUCAGGAUGAACGCUGGCGGCGUGUCUAAGGCAUGCAAGUCGAACGCAUUUCGUAGCAAUACGAGAUGAGUGGCAAACGGGUGCGUAACACAUUGGUAACCUGCCCUCCGAAGGGGAAUAACCUCGCGAAAGCGAGCCUAAUACCCCAUAGUAUGCUCGAUCGCAAGAUUGAUCAUUAAAGGCGCAAGCCGACGGAGGAGGGACCUAUGGUCUAUCAGCUAGUUGGUAGGGUAGUGGCCUACCAAGGCGAUGACGGAUAGCGGGCGUGAGAGCGCGACCCGCCUCACUGGGACUGAGACACUGCCCAGACUCCUACGGGAGGCUGCAGUCAAGAAUAUUCCCCAAUGGCCGAAAGGCUGAGGGAGCGACGCCGCGUGUAGGAAGAAGCUUUUCGGAGUGUAAACUACUUUUCUGUGGGAAAAAUUAAUGAUGGUACCACAGGAAUAAGGGGCUGCUAACUUCGUGCCAGCAGCAGCGGUAAUACGAAGGCCCCGAGCGUUAUCCGGAUUUAUUGGGCGUAAAGAGCUCAACGGUGGCUCAUCAAGUCUUUGGUUAAAUUUUGAUGCUCAACAUCAAAGCUGCCAGAGAAACUAGUGAGCUAGAGGACAGAAGAGGCAGACGGAAUUGCCGGUGUAGUAGUAAAAUGCGUUAAUAUCGGCAAGAACACCAAUUGCGAAGGCAGUCUGCUGGGAUGCUCCUGACACUUCACGAGCGAAAGCGUGGGUAGCGAUACGGAUUAGAUACCCGUGUAGUCCACGCCGUAAACGAUGGAUACUAGGCAUUGGAAGUAUCGACCCUUUCAGUGUCGUUUUGAAAGCUAACGCCUUAAGUAUCCCGCCUGGGUAGUACGGCCGCAAGGCUAAAACUCAAAGGAAUUGACGGGAACCCGCACAAGCGGUGGAGCAUGUGGUUUAAUUCGACGAUAACCGAGGAACCUUACCAGGGUUAGAAAUCCUAGCUGCACAUCCUGUGAAAACAGGACUCCUUUGAGGGUGCUAGGACAGGUGCUGCAUGGCUGUCGUCAGCUCAUGUCGUGAGAUUUCGGGUUAAGUCCUUUAAUGAGCGCAACCCUUAUGGUAUGUUAAAUAUUCAUACCAAACCGCCCCGGAUAACGGGGAGGAAGGUGGGGAUGACGUCAAGUCAGCAUGGUCCUCUGACACCCUGGGCUACACACGUGCUACAAUGGAUAGUAACAAUGGGUCGCUAAAUCGCAAGAUGGAGCUAAUCCCAUCAAACCUAUCCUCAGUUCGGAUUGAGGGCUGCAACUCGCCCUCAUGAAGCUGGAAUCGCUAGUAAUCGCAGAUCAGCUAUGCUGCGGUGAAUACGUUCUCGGGUUUUGUACACACCGCCCGUCACGCCAAGAGAGUCGGUAAUACCCGAAGAUUAGUCGCAAGACUGAUUGAAGGUAGGACCGAUGAUAGGGGCGAAGUCGUAACAAGGCA